rnacentral:rRNA from 1 species
AGUGAACGCUGGCGGUAGGCCUAACACAUGCAAGUCGAACGGCAGCACAGUAAGAGCUUGCUCUUACGGGUGGCGAGUGGCGGACGGGUGAGGAAUACAUCGGAAUCUACUUUUUCGUGGGGGAUAACGUAGGGAAACUUACGCUAAUACCGCAUACGACCUACGGGUGAAAGCAGGGGAUCUUCGGACCUUGCGCGAUUGAAUGAGCCGAUGUCGGAUUAGCUAGUUGGCGGGGUAAAGGCCCACAAGGCGACGAUCCGUAGCUGGUCUGAGAGGAUGAUCAGCCACACUGGAACUGAGACACGGUCCAGACUCCUACGGGAGGCAGCAGUGGGGAAUAUUGGACAAAGGGCGCAAGCCUGAUCCAGCCAUACCGCGUGGGUGAAGAAGGCCUUCGGGUUGUAAAGCCCUUUUGUUGGGAAAGAAAAGCAGCAGGUUAAUACCCCGCUGUUCUGACGGUACCCAAAGAAUAAGCACCGGCUAACUUCGUG